rnacentral:rRNA from 1 species
UGGCCCUACGGGAGGCAGCAGUCGGGAAUAUUGCGCAAUGGAGGAAACUCUGACGCAGUGACGCCGCGUAUAGGACGAAGGUCUUCGGAUUGUAAACUAUUGUCGUUAGGGAAGAGAAAGGACAGUACCUAAGGAGGAAGCUCCGGCUAACUACGUGCCAGCAGCCGCGGUAAUACGGAGGAUCCGAGCGUUAUCCGGAUUUAUUGGGUUUAAAGGGAGCGUAGAUGGGUUGUUAAGUCAGUUGUGAAAGUUUGCGGCUCAACCGUAAAAUUGCAAUUGAUACUGGAAGCCUUUAGUACAGUUGG